AUUGAACGCUGGCGCCAGGCUUAACACAUGCAAGCCGAGCGGGGGAAGGUACUUUGCUACCGGACCUAGCGGCGGACGGGUGAGUAAUGCUAAGGAACCUGCCUAUUAGUGGGGGACAACAUCCGGAAAGGGAUGCUAAUACCGCUUACGUCCUACGGGAGAAGGCAGGGGAUCUUCGGACCUUGCGCUAAUAGAUGGGCCAAAGUCGGAUUAGCAAGUUGGUGGGGUAAAGGCCUACCAAGGCGACGAUCUGUAGCGGGUCUGAGAGGAUGAUCCGCCACACUGGGACUGAGACACGGCCCAGACUCCUACGGGAGGCAGCAGUGGGGAAUAUUGGACAAUGGGGGGAACCCUGAUCCAGCCAUGCCGCGUGUGUGAAGAAGGCCUUAUGGUUGUAAAGCACUUUAAGCGAGGAGGAGGCUACUUUAGUUAAUACCUAGAGAUAGUGGACGUUACUCGCAGAAUAAGCACCGGCUAACUCUGUGCCAGCAGCCGCGGUAA
rnacentral:rRNA from 1 species